GUGCUUUUCCUAUUCGUCUGCUAGCAGCUAUUCGUAUGGUUCCAGUUCGGGAGUUUGGAGUGCUAUUUUGUAUGCAGUUCGGGAGUUUGGAGCAUUCCCUUACAUGCGGUUCGGGAGUUUGGUGUUCUGCAGUAGCUGUGCCUGUAUCUCUGGAAGGGGAAGAUCUCCUAAACGGCAGUUUAACCCAUUUAUGCCUGGGGGUGCCAUUACAGGGUUUACAGGAUAUUUCCUGCCCAUUCCAUGCUCCCACACCUCUAUGCAUACCGCACAGUUUUUUUCAUGGUAGAUGAGGGCUAAUGUAAAGUGGGAGGCUGUCUUGUGGACGCUGGCACAGAAUUCUAACAUGCACCAGAAGCAGAGAGUAGCUUUCGCUACACUAUUUGAACAGUCAUGUACAACAAUAUCCCUGAAACAACAUCACAAGGAAAAAUGUAUGUAAAAGUAAAUCAUCGGUGGCCAUGGACAUAAGGCAAGCAAGUAAAAAAACAGAAACGUUUCACUCCCAAAGUGACUUGCUUUUCCCACAGAAAUCUCAAAUUUGCAGUGUUAUGUUACUACUGCAAGGGAUUCUGGGUAGGCAUAUGCAAAUUAGUUCAACAAAGAGAGAGAGAGAUCUUAUGGUACAUAUAUCACAUAUAUGAACUAAGGUACUACAUACAUAUAAACACUACAUAAUAUUUUUAUUGCUUUGAUUAAGG